rnacentral:piRNA from 1 species
CUGAUGUGUUGCCAAGAAGAAC